ACCCGUCCAUGCAUCUGUGAAAUGAAAAGGCUUUCUGGGAGGCUAGCUGAGGGCCACGGGAGGUUGUUUGCGCCUUGGCCUAUUUGAAGACGGUGUAUAGGAUUUCAUGUGCAUAGAUUGUGUUUGUGUGAGUGGCAGAAGCUGGUUGGUUAGUUAUGGGAAUGGGGUUGUACUGCAGUUGUACUGGUUCAGGUGUGUAGUAGAUAUGCAAUGGAACAAGCAUCCUUGUCAUUGUCUAUUCAUAGAGUGGGAAGAAAAACAGAGCGAGACUGAUGGAGAUAGGAAUAAGACAGUGACUGCUGUAUACCCAUUUGGUUGGUAAAAGCCUCAGUUGGGUUUAGAAUGGCAGAGUAAAGGCCUGUUCACCACAAUACAAAUGUUUGGUGUGAUAAACAUUUUAAUUUGAAUAAACAGCUGUUAAUGCAUCGAUUUAGACCGACACAAAUUUGUUUGCUGUCAACGCAAUGGAUUUGUUUUUUUUGUUUUUUUAUAGAAAGAUGUUCUAAUCUCUCUUCCAACACACUUAAAAAAAACUCACCUACUAAUAAGGUCACCUACUAGCUGCUGUGUUACAUAAAGCUACAACAAGGUGGUGCUUAAAAUGGGGUGUUUUAAUAAGGAACACUGAAAAGCAGAGAAAGGGUCUGGGAAAAGCUUUCCUGUAACUGUUUGAGAAUAUUCGAAUAGUUUGACUUGCUCUCUUUUCUGUGACAAUAAGCGCCACCUACUGUCAGAGAGAGAAUCUGCAUUUUCAUUCAGCUCAUCUGACCUUUUGUUCUUUUUUAUUUGUUCAAUGAUUUGCAGAGUUUGCCACACCAUAUUUAGAUUUUUCUGUGCUGGUCUAUAAUUUAGGAAUAACUGUUUUAUAAUGAAUAUGAUGUGCCCCUAAAAGACAGAUAAAUACAAACCAAACUGUAACUGGUCGCUAUACUUGUUCGUCAGACUGCUCUUCCUGUCCAAGUAGGCGGCACAGGUAGAAACCUGAAUCUGAGAAUAAAACAUAGAGCAAAGGAAAACAAAUUCCACUUCUCACAAUUAUCCCCAUCAAUUACUGUAGAGAAAAUGGGAAAUACUUCCAAAGAAACUUUACAAGAAAUCUUUCCAAAGAAUUUAACCCUUGAACUCUACAUUCAAAGCUUAUGAAUAUGUCUUUCUUGGCCAGAGUAAGUCUUACUUGUGGAUAUUCUCUGAUAUUCCUACGUCCUUCUUUUACGUAAUAAGGAUUCUGUGACUAAAUAGAUUAGUACUAAUGAUAGUAAUGAUGACAUUUAUAAAGCCAGGCAUACUGCACACGGCUAAGAAUGGACUGCACCACACCCUUCACACUCCUACUCACUCAGUAUUUCAAGCGUAAGAAUUGCUCAAUUUCUGGCAGCACUGGCAGCCCUUCAAAGGACUUGCACAACCAAAAAUAAACUAUUUUGAAAUGCCUAUGAAGAGAGAGGAGGAAAGGUUUAGAACGAGAAGCAGAGGAAAAGCUAAAUUAUUGUCCCCCAAAUCCUUUUCAAGUCGGUUUGAGCUCUAGCGCUGCAGCCACCCACUGAGAGUACAAUUAUUACGGGAUGGUGACUAUGCCCUUGGUGAGACCGUUUGCUGGGUGCAGUCAAGGUACAUUGUUUGACCUGCCUUUUCUCCUCCAAUACCCAUUCUGAUGGACCAGCGGCAAUUAAAGACUCGAGGCCGGAGGCCGGCGUAGUCAGUCAUUAAUGAGGAUCGAUGAUGGACCCAGUGGUGUUCAAAAAGGAAGAGGUCUAUCUCCUGCCCCGCAUCUUUUUCUCUGAUGUGGUAGAGAAAAUGUAUUGUGUAAAUGUAUUUGUAUGGUGAACUAUUACAAUUUAAAAUAUAAUUCAUAUCUGAUACCAAGGCUUAAUUUUCAGCAUCCAUUACUCCAGUUUUCAGUAUAACAUGAUGUUUAGUAAACAUUCUAAUAUGCUGAUUUGCUGCUGUAGAAACAGUUCGUGCUGAAAACAGCUGUGUUGUUGGAAAUAGAAAUCCCUUUUAAUGUAAAAGUCUUUACUGUUGCUUUUAAUCAAUUCGGUGCAUCCUUGCUGAAUAAAAUGAUUAAUUUCUUUAAAAACAAUCUUAGUACAUGGUAGUAUAGACCUCAACAAAAUGCAUCAAAUAUCCUAAUUGAUUACUAAUGUGUAAUUCAUAAUGGCUGCUGGUUUAUAUCCUGCAUCGACUAGGUAUGGUGUGCCCUUGAAAUAUGUGACAUAAUUGUUUUUUUAACAACAUCCUAAAUAAACACACAGCCUACAUUUUUGGAUUAAGGCAUUACAAAAGUAUUGCGGUUGCA